UCAAUAUCCUCUACAAUGAAGUUUCGUAUCGUUGUAUUUUUGUUAUUUAUAAUGAUGAUCUAUUCAAUAUCAACAUCUGACCAAGAACUUCCUCGCAGCCUAGACGAGUAUAUUCCAAAAAAAGACGGUCAAAUAAGUUUUAAUAGACCCUAUAACUGCUACAUGGUUCGAUGCCGUGACGCAGAAGAAUGCAGUGAAGAUGAUAUUCUUCAACGACGUGAUGCGAUCUGGUGUUUCUGUUGCAAAAUCCCUAUUUCAAAGACAGAAAAUAAGCUGUGAUUCAAAAUAUUACAAAUUACAUCAAUACAAACUUUCGGAUUAUAUAAAAGAUUAAUUUACACUUUUUACAAAAAAGAAAACAACAAAAAAGUUUGUAAAACCUUAUUUUGGUCAAAAAUACUUAAAAGGAGUAUUACUCAACAUUUUUAUUCUAAUUUUGGAUUUUGUCAUCAAAAUAUAAUUGGGAACAUUUUGGUGUACAAUCGUCCAAGAAACGUAACUAUUUCCAUCAACGUUAUAUGUAAUUUGAUGUUGAAAUAAAGAAAAUAAAAAAUAAUAAGGAAACUACGAGGAAUAAAUAAUGGAAAUAAAAUAAUGGAACAAAUGGAAUUAAAUAAUUAACAAUUAGACCGAAGGUUUUCCCAAAUAAAAGAUUUAUAUACUGAGGGAAAUUAUUCUUGACCAAUCUUUUAUAUCAAAAAAUUCAUUCUUCCCGCAAUAAUUUAUAAUACUUAAAUGAAGAGUUAUACAAGAUUAUUGUUACAUGAAUAAGUUUUUUUUAAAAAGAAAGAUACCAGCGACAGGAGCAUGCACAAUAGAGUCAAACUUAGCACAUCGAAAUCUGAUGAUAUAUGUAAUACAAGGUGGUCCAUUUCACGUGAGACAAGCGAUUAUCUCAAAAACGAUGACCAAAUGAAAGUUGUUCUGUGCGAA
rnacentral:lncRNA from 1 species